AAAAAGCCCAAACGUUCUCACCUCACUUUCUUUCUUUUUGCUUUAUCUCGCGAAAAGCCUGAGCAAGAAGGCAGUCCACCCGCAUAUCGUUGGUGGGCGGAUCGCGAGUAUCUCGGAAACAAAUACGCUGAGAUUGGUAACGGGGAAUCAUACUCGGGAGUACCGAGGGUGCUGGAAUUGAGUAACGGCGACGCAGUAUCACGCUUUGCCCUUGCUCCCGAAUUCGUCCCUUCUUCUUCAACUGCCUGUAACAAGCCCCAGCACCAGCGUCAACCUCCAAAGCGUCCUUCACCGCUCUACAAGACGGAGUUUUGUCGGAAAACAUCUUGCUCGAAGGGAGACCUGUGUGACUUUGCCCAUAGUGUUGACGAGAUUCGCAUGCCACCCAAGUUCCCUUCAAAGUGCAAGAUGCUUGGUAACUGAAUUAGACUGCAUUGUUCCAUUGUUGUCUAGAUGGAUGGAUGGCCUUUGGGGCACAAAGGCAAAUACCUUUGUUUUUGCCACCCUACAGUUUAACUCCAUCAGACAGAGGACUAUUGGAGAGCUUGAUCGGCCUCGUUAACCGAAUCCAGCUAGCCAGCGCUGCUUUCGGCGAUCACGGCAGCGAGGGCAUGUCACUCUGGGAAGCUCUUCCUUCUGUUACCGUCGUCGGAGGCCAGAGUUCCAGGAAGUCUUCCGUUUGGGAAAGCAUGGUGAGGAGAGGUUUCUUGCCUCGUGGAUCUGUUAUUGUGGCGAGGAGACCAUUAGUGUUGCAGCUUCAUCGGAUAGUGGAUGGGCGAUCUGAAUAUGCAGAGUUUCUUUGUGCGCCUAGGAAGAAGUUUACUGAUUUUGAGACAGUCUAUCAUAACUUGGAUUCUGUACACAAGGAGAUCUCAGAUGAGUGAUCACAUAAUUGGGCGUACCUUGCAGUUGUAAACUUGACUCAUGGAUCUUCCUGGAUUGACCAAGUUUGCUGUAGAUGCCAUUGAACUUGCAAGAGAAGUCGAUCCAUCAGGUACAAGAUACCGGGAGAGGCUACGGCACUUUCAUCUCCUUGUGAUUGUUUAUCAAAAGGAUUGCUUCUUUUACAAGCCAAAACACUUGCUUUCUACUGUAUGGUUGGCAUUUUUAGGUAGAACAUUUGGAGUGAUAACAAAACCUGAUCUAAUGGACAAGGGAGCCAACGCUUUCAAUCAUUUGAAGGCUCUCAUCUGGCAGCGCAUACCAAGGAUCAUUGCUUUGAUAAAUAAGACCAUUAGGCCGAGUUUGUUUCACAGGACUGCUAUGUCCUGCCUUAACAAGAGUCCUGGACUCUAACCUGGCUUAUGUUAUGUAAUACAUGAAUCAUGUUUGGUGUUGUGUUGGACUAAAGAACAACAAGAAAGAACAAUCGAGAAAUUCCAGAACUCAAAU